GCCCGCCUAGCUCAAUCGGCCAGAGCGUCAGACUUUUAAGAAAUGUCAUCUGAAGGCUGCGAGUUCGACCCUCGCGGUGGGCU
rnacentral:tRNA from 1 species